GUUCUUCGGAACUAGAGACCGGCGCACGGGUGCGUAACGCGUAUGCAAUCUACCUUUUACAGAGGGAUAGCCCAGAGAAAUUUGGAUUAAUACCUCAUAGUAUGUGAGAAUCGCAUGGUUUUCACAUUAAAGUUCCAACGGUAAAAGAUGAGCAUGCGUCCCAUUAGCUAGAUGGUAAGGUAACGGCUUACCAUGGCGACGAUGGGUAGGGGUCCUGAGAGGGAGAUCCCCCACACUGGUACUGAGACACGGACCAGACUCCUACGGGAGGCAGCAGUGAGGAAUAUUGGACAAUGGGCGCAAGCCUGAUCCAGCCAUGCCGCGUGCAGGAUGACGGUCCUAUGGAUUGUAAACUGCUUUUGUACAGGAAGAAACACUCCCUCGUGAGGGAGCUUGACGGUACUGUAAGAAUAAGGAUCGGCUAACUCCGUGCCAGCAGCCGCGGUAAUACGGAGGAUCCAAGCGUUAUCCGGAAUCAUUGGGUUUAAAGGGUCCGUAGGCGGUUUAAUAAGUCAGUGGUGAAAGCCCAUCGCUCAACGGUGGAACGGCCAUCGAUACUGUUAAACUUGAAUUAUUAGGAAGUAACUAGAAUAUGUAGUGUAGCGGUGAAAUGCUUAGAGAUUACAUGGAAUACCAAUUGCAAAGGCAGGUUACUACUAAUGGAUUGACGCUGAUGGACGAAAGCGUGGGUAGCGAACAGGAUUAGAAACCCUGGUAGUCCACGCCGUAAACGAUGGAUACUAGCUGUUGGGAGCAAUCUCAGUGGCUAAGCGAAAGUGAUAAGUAUCCCACCUG
rnacentral:rRNA from 1 species